UACGUAGGCAGCGAGCGUUGUUCGGAAUUACUGGGCGUAAAGAGUGUGUAGGCGGUGCUCUAAGUUCGGUGUGAAAUCUCCUGGCUCAACUGGGAGGGUGCGCCGGAAACUGGAGUGCUUGAGCGUGGGAGAGGAAAGCGGAAUUCCUGGUGUAGCGGUGGAAUGCGUAGAUAUCAGGAGGAACACCUGUGGUGUAGACGGCUUUCUGGACCAUAGCUGACGCUGAGACACGAAAGCGUGGGUAGCAAACAGG
rnacentral:rRNA from 1 species